ensembl:lncRNA
CACCCACAGCAUAUGGAAGUUCCUGGGCCAGGGAUAGAAUCUGAGCUGCAACUGAAACCUAUACCACAACUAUGGCAACAGCAAUACUGGAUCCUUAACCCAUUGCACCACAGCAUAAACACCCUAGAAGGAGCUUUUCUAACACUGCAUUUCAUAAUAGUGUAAUUACUAAUUUUAUUAUGGGCAAGGUGGGCUUUACUGUUAGAUAAUUAGGUUCUUCCUCCUUAUGAUUUUGUUUUGCACUUUUUAUAAGAAUUAAUGUCUAGUCUUGUGAGUUGUGCUUUUCUGAAUCACUACUACCCGCUGGGUACUAGAAAGAAAAAAAAGUGGCAUGUUUAUGACUCACACUGGUUGCAAGACAAGAGAGAGAAGAUUUAGUGCUACCUUGUAUUGUUCUGCUGGGGAGUCCAGAGUAAAGUAAAGAACUCAGAAUAUCCCCCCAAAGAGAUUUUUAGAUACCAAAUCAAUUUAGUGUAGUACACAUAAGAGGAGUAGAAAAAUAAGGUAUCAGUGCCACAUUCCUUGAAAUGAAAGGCAAUGUUUACUGUUGCUCAAAGUAAUCUUUCUAUUAAGAGGGCUUUUUCUCUCUUUUGUCCUCUAGGUAACUUCUAUUUACUCUUAAAACCUCAGGUCACAGCACAGAAAUCAACCCUUACCUGUACAGUCAAUGAUUUUUGAGACAUGUGCCAAGACCACCAAACAAGGCAAGAACAGUCUUUGCAACAAAUGGUACUGGGCAAGCUGGUUAGCUACAUGUCAAGGACUGAAGUUGGACCCUUACUUUACACUAUAUGCAAAACAAUAACUUAAAAUAGAUCAAAGAGCUAAAACUGUCAAACUCUUAGAAGAAAACAUUGAGGAAAAAUGUUAAUGACAUAGGAUUUGGCAAUGAUUUCAAGAACAUGACGGCAAAAGCAUAGGUAAACAUACACGCCCACAAAUAGGACUUUUAUCAAAAUUAGGAACUUUUGUACAUUGAGGAGUAAUAGUAAGAUACCAAGAUGACAAUGCAAAGAAUGGAAGAAAAUAUUUGCCAAUUAUAUAUCUGGUAAGUUUUUCACAUCUAGAAUAUAUAAAGGACUCCUAAAACUCAACCACAACAACCAACACCCCCAUUCAAAAAUGGGCAAAGGACAUAAAUGAACAUCUACCCAAAGAUGAUAUUCAAAUGUCCAAGAAGUGCAUGAAAAGAAACUCAACAUCAUUUGUUAUUAGGGACAUGCAAGUCAAAACCACAAUGAGAGACUACUUUGCACUUCCUAAGAUGGCUAUAAUUUAAAACAUGGAAAAUAACAAGCAUUGGUGAGGAUGUGGAGAAACUGGACUUCUUGUGUACUGCUGGUGGGAAUGGAAAAGGGUGUGGCCACUGUGGAAAAGAGUUGGACAGUUUUCUAACAAGUUACACACAGAACUGCCACACGAUCCAGCAAUUUCGCCAUUGAGUAGAUACCCAGAAGGACGGAAAGCAAGGACUAGAACAGAUAUUCCUACAUCCAUUUUCAUAGCAGCAUUACUUACAAUAACCAAAACAUGGGAACCAUCCAAGUGUCAUCUACAAACAGAUUAACAAAAGGUGGUAUAUACAUAUAAUGAAAUAUUAUUCAACCCGAAAAAGGAAUGACAUUUUGAUGUGUGCUCCAUGGAUGGACCUUGAAGAUAUUAUGUUUAGUGAAAUAAGGUAUAGAUGGACAGAUAUUGUAUGUUUCUCAUUUAAUAAGGUAUCUAGAAGAGGCAAAUUCAUACAUAAAAUUGAACAGAGGCUGCCAGGGAAGGAGCUUAAUUACAGCAAACACUCUGUACAUGUGUAUUACUUAGGUGAAAAAUUUGGGGGCAUCAAUAGUGGGUGAUGGUUACACAGCAUUGUGAAUAUAUUCAAUGUUAGUGAGUUGUGGUUAAAAUGACAAAUGUGGAGUUAUGUAUAUUUUAUAACAAUUAAAAAACCUCACUUCUGAUGGAACAUGAUGGAGAAAAAGAAUGUGUGUGUAUAUAUAUAUAUAUAUAUAUACACGCAUACACACACACAUAUGUAUGCACAUAUGUAUAUAUGUACCAUUGGGUCACUUUGCUGUACAGCAGAAAAUGACAGAACAUGGCAAACCAGGUAUGAUAGAAAAAAUAAAAAUCUUUAAAAAAUUUUAAAAAACCUUUCAGCUCACAGAUCACUGUUUCAGGGGAAAUUUCUGAAAUCCUAUUAUCCUCACUCUCAGAAGCCUAUGAAUUUUCUUUCAUCAUAUUUAUCCUCGUUUGUAAAUAUAUAUUGAUUUGUGUGGUUUUCGAGGAACAGCGUUCUCUUCUUCAGGGCGGUGUGAUCCAUGAUGUUUUCAGGUUUGCUUACUUCUCUCCCAGCCCAGUCUAGCCCAUUGAAAUAAUUCCAGAGAAAAGUUUUUACUGAAUUCCUUUCUCUAGUAUGAAGGGAGGAAACUAAAAUACAAUCUUGAGUACCACAUGCAUAGCAAUUACCUAAAUCUUUUCUAGCCACGACGUUUAUAGAGCUGACUAAUUUUAAUAGAUCAUUUAAAAACAUUAUUUAGCAAACGUGGCUUGACUAGGCCACACACAAACACAGAGAAACAAGUCUAAUUAUUCUAUUGUCACGUCACAUAAUUAUCUGUGGUCAAAUUAUAGAUUGUAGAAGGGGUAAUUACUCCUAAUGGUCUCCAAGAGUCAUCAUUUGCUUUUAUCUGAAUUUGGGAGGAUUGAGUAAAGUAUUAGAAAGUGAUGUGGCAACACAUUCUGAUUUUCGGUAAUUCACCCAAAGACUGAUAAUCUUGGAAGUAAACAACGUUUCCUAUGAGAAUUUACUAUCUUGCGAUGGGCUUGAAAAAAUGAGCAAAGUAUUACAGACUUAGAUACCUAAUAAUUCGCAAGAGCGUUUCAUGCAGUUGUUAAUAGUUCUAGGGAUGAAUAACCAAAAAGGGAAGUUUGCUCCUAUUUUUCUUUUUCUUUUCUCAUUCGCCUAGAAAGUUUAAUGUUUUCAGAAUAACUUGUUUGAUGAAUGCUUUAGAUUCUGAACACCUGGCAGAGUAUUGACAAAAUUACUCUAUAAGCAUAUUGAAGAAGCAUUUCUCCUUCUAGUCACGUUUCCUUUUUCAGUAGUAAUGGUGGUGGAGAGGACAGUGGAUUUAAUGCUACUUAAAAUAUUUUUAGGGUGCUAUAUAGGGUGCUAACUAUAUUGAUGUUAUUAUAUAUGUGUGUGUAUAUAUAUAAAAUUUGUCUUCUUAGGGCCAUGUCCAGGGCACGUGGAGUUUCCCAGCCUAGGGGUCGCAUCGCAGCUGUAGCUGCCACACAACACCACAGCAACACAGGAUCCUAAGCUGCACCUGCAACCUACACCACAGCUCACAGCAACACCAGAUCCUUAACUCACUGAGCAAGGCCAGGGAUCCAACUUGGAAAAUCUGGAAAACUGAUCCAACCUGCAUACUGUUUUCCAAUUUCCUCAUGGAUGCUAGUCAGAUUCAGUUCCACUGAGCCAUGAUGGCAACUCCUGAAGUUAUUACAUAUUCCUUCUUAAUCCACUUUGUUAUUGCUAAGUGUGUUCUCCAAUUGUGUUGUGUAGUCUAUUCCUCCAAACAGAAAUAAUUUCAUGUCUUUGUAAAUAAAUGAUUAAGACCUUUAUGACUGUUUUUGUUGGGACUCUGAUAAGUCUGCGUAUGCUUAUGAUGUGUGUCUUUCUCUGUGAUCUAGGAGUUUUCCAUCUGCUAAAUGCCAUUGAAUAGUUUCAAAAAAAAAAAAAAAGGCUGCUAAGAAACUGGUUGGCAGAGAAAAAACAUUCGAGCAGUAGAAAUUCAUUGAAUAUGAUAGAGAAUGUUUUGUUUUGUUUUUUUCCUCUUAAGCAGCUGGUUUGAAAAUUCUCCUUGGGGAAAGUUGUUUUGUUUGUUGUAUUUGGAGGAAAUCUGUUGGUAAGCUAUUUGGGGCAAGAGCGACUGCUAUGUGCAUGCUCAAAUACUGCAAGUUACUCCCAUGCUGCCCUCGAAAUCCAGGCCUUAAAUCAGGUGGGCUGUCAUUUUUCUUUUUCUUGCUGGGUAUUAUAUGCAUAUGUAAUUUUGGGUGUAGAGGCGACAGCGGGGCUAAAUUGCUUCACAUAUUAAAGGGGUGAGUGUUGAGGUGUUUGUGUUUGUUUUUAUUUUGUUUCUUUUUUAAUUUUUUUAAAAUUAUAGUUGAUUUACAAGGUUUUGUCAAUUUUUGCUGUACAACAAAGUAACCCAGUUAUAUUUACAUACUUUUUUUCACAUUAUCCUCCAUCACAUGUUCCAUCACAAGAUAUAGUUCCCUGUGCUAUACAGCAGGAUCUCAUUGCUUAACCACUCUAAAUGCAAUAGUUUGCAUCUACUAACCCCAAACUCCUAGUCCAUCCCACUCCCUCCCCCAUCCCCUCCCCCUCGGCAACCACAAGUCUAUUCUCCAUGGCCAAGAGUUUCUUUACUGUAGAUAGAUUCAUUUGUGCCAUACAUUAGAUUCCAGAUAUAAGUCAUAUCAUAUGGUAUUUGUCUUUCUCUUUCUGACUUAUCUCACUUAGUAUGAGAAUCCCUAGUUCCAUCCAUGUUGCUGCAAAUGGCAUUAUUAUUAUUAUUAUUUUAUAUAGCUGAGUAGUAUUACACUGGGUAUAUGUACCACAUCUUUGUAAUCCAUUCAUCUGUGGGUGGGCAUUUAGGUUGUUUCCAUGUUUCGCCUAUUGUGAAUCGUGCUGCUAUGAACAUAGGGGUACAUGUAUAUUUUUCAAUGAAAGUGUUGUCUGGAUAUAUGCGCAGGAGUGGGAUUACUGGGUCAUCUGGUAGUUCUACAUGUAGUUUUCUGAGGUACCUCCAUACGUUUUCCACAGUAGUUGUACGGAUUUAUAGUCCCACCAACAGUAAAGGAGGGUACCCUUUUCCCCACACCCUUUCCAAGUUAUUUGUAGACUUACUAAGGAUGGCCAUUCUGACUGAUGUGAGGUGGUACCUCAUUGUAGUUUUGAUUUGCACUUCUCUGAUAAUUAGUGAUGUUGAGAAUUUUUUUCCUGUGCCUGUUGGAAAUGUCUAUUCAGGUCUUCUGCCCAUUUUUCAACGGGUUGUUUAAUUCUUGCUGUGAGCUGUGGUGUAGGCCUUGCUGUGGCUGUGGUGUAGGCCGGCAGCUAUAGCUCCAAUUAGACCCUUAGCCUGAGAACUUCCAUAUGCCACGGGUGCAGCCCUAAAAAGACAAAACAACAACAACAAAACCUUCUUUCUAAGCUACUAAUGAAGCAAACGUGCAAACAAACCAGAUUCCUUAAGGAACCACUUGGUGGGUAAGGCUCAUUGCUUAUUACAAUACUGACAGGCAUGUAUCUUUAAGAGCAGGAUGCAGGGACCCUGAGUUACCUUUCUUUAGAUUAUGGUCCUUGUCUGUUAGUACCUGUAUUCCUUUUCCAUGCAUGUAAAAAUCACCACUUAACUUUUCCUGGAGGCCCACCUGGAGAUGUUCAAGUGCAUGCUGAGCUAGAAAGAGGAGGAUCAGGGAGAAAGAAAAGGCAGAGUAAAGCUGGGGAGAGGGAGUCCCAAGUUGGGGGGUGGGGGAUGGAAAUCAUGCGAUGAGUCCCUCCCUCAGCAUUUGUAAUGAAAUGUAACCUGUGUCACUUCCAGAUCUAGAAGCUUAAUAGGUAGGUGUACUUUAUGUUCUCUUUUCUUCUUAUUGACUUGAUAUAGGUGAGGAGAAGGAUCUUGGAAAUUACAUCUUCUUAAUAGGCAGGUGCUAAAAAUAUAAACAACCACCAGGUCUCUGAAUUAUUCCUUGGAGAGAUAAUUGCCACCUACCAGGAACACCGAUUUAGGACUUUACAUGAGGGAGAAAUAAACUUCUACCAUGGUUGUACCCUUAGGAAGUUUAGAGUUUGCUUGUUACAGCCGCUAAUGCUAGCCUAACUGAUAUACUCUGUUGGUGUAUGGAGAAAUCAGAGAUUGUUCAUGGGGGUGUAAGAGUUCAAGGAUCAAAGAUGACAGUUGUCUGAUUGUUGGCAGAUGGAAGAGUGGUUUGAGUGAGACAUUCUCGAAAACUAACAUGGCAGCCACUAUCCCAGGGCUCUUCCCACUAUGUGUAUGCUGCAGAGAAUGGAGGAAAAGAAAGCACUGAAUAACGUAAAACAUGGCUACCUCGGUCCCUGCUUCUGCAGCUGGUCAUGAAGUCUAAAGGAAUAGUCACUGCAUCCUUCUUACACCUCCCAUUCCACUUGCCCUCUACCCUCCACCAGCACCUUAGCAAGGCAGAGUUCUUUCUCUUUUUCUUU